GCCCAGACUCCUACGGGAGGCAGCAGUGGGGAAUAUUGCACAAUGGGGGAAACCCUGAUGCAGCGACGCCGCGUGAGCGAUGAAGUAUUUCGGUAUGUAAAGCUCUAUCAGCAGGGAAGAAGAUGACGGUACCUGACUAAGAAGCCCCGGCUAACUACGUGCCAGCAGCCGCGGUAAUACGUAGGGGGCAAGCGUUAUCCGGAUUUACUGGGUGUAAAGGGAGCGUAGACGGCGAUGCAAGCCAGAUGUGAAAGCCCGGGGCUCAACCCCGGGACUGCAUUUGGAACUGUGUGGCUGGAGUGUCGGAGAGGCAGGCGGAAUUCCUAGUGUAGCGGUGAAAUGCGUAGAUAUUAGGAGGAACACCAGUGGCGAAGGCGGCCUGCUGGGCUUUUACUGACGCUGAGGCUCGAAAGUGUGGGGAGCAAACAGGAUUAGAUACCCCAGUA
rnacentral:rRNA from 1 species